rnacentral:rRNA from 1 species
ACAAUUAAAUAACACAUUGUUCGCCAAAUAACUACGAGUAAAAACUUAAAAUUUAAAAGACUUGACGGUGCCUCACAACAACCUAGAGGAGCCUGUCAAAUAACCGAUACUCCACGAUUAACCCCACCCAAGCUAGCAAAACAGUCUAUAUACCGCCGUCGCCAGCUUACCUUGUGAAAGAAACAAAGUAAGCACAAUAGCCCAACACUAACACGACAGGUCGAGGUGUAACUCAUGCAGGGGUCAAAGAUGGGCUACAUUUUCUAACCCAGAAAAUACGAAUAAAUUAUGAAAUUAAAAACUGAAGGCGGAUUUAGCAGUAAGAUAAGAAUAAAAUGCUUAACUGAAAAUAAAGCAAUGAGGUGCGUACACACCGCCCGUCAUCCC